GCGGCUGUAGCUCAAUGGCAGAGCACUGAUUUGUGGCAUCAGGGACGGUGGUUCGAUACCACCCGGUCGUACCA
rnacentral:tRNA from 1 species